rnacentral:lncRNA from 1 species
AGUCAGAGAAAUAUAUAGAUGAGAGAGUCCAGUGUGGAAAGGGUAGUCUUGCCUGCAACAGAAUCUACAUAUGAAAUUUUUUUUUUUUUUUUUUUGUGGUCAACAAUGAAAGUAAAUCCAAUUUAUGAUUUAUCAAUUGGGUAAAUGGGUCAGUAAAAAAAUAAAUGGUUGAAAAAUGAACCCAAAAUUUUUGUGCCCAAAUUCAACUGGAGAUGACAGCGAACAGCGGGCAUGCUGGAAAGUGGAGACUGAAAAGAAAGGCCAUCAUAAUCAGGCCGUACCUUCCAUUAUGGCUUUUAGCAAUUUCAUUUCUUUUACCC